rnacentral:rRNA from 1 species
GUUCUUCGGAGAAGUGCAUCGGAAACUGGGAGACUUGAGUGCACAAUAAGACAGUGGAACUCCAUGUGUAGCGGUGGAAUGCGUAUAUAUAUGGAAAAACACCAGUGGCGAAGGCGGCUGUCUAGUCUGUAACUGACGCUGAGGCUCGAAAGCAUGGGUAGCGGAUUAGAUUACCUGCCCGGCCACCCCAUGCUGUAUGCCAUGAGUGCUAAGUGUUGGAGGGCCAUUGCCCUUCAGUGCUGCAGCUAACGCAUUACCCACUGGGCCUGGGAAGUACGACCGCAAACUCGAAACACUUAAGUGUUGACCGCCCAACGCACGAACGGAGGAGUUGUGGUUUAAUUCGAAGCUACGCUAACAAACUUACGAGGUGUUGACAUCUUCGGCCAAUCGUAGAGAUGAUACCUUCACUUCGAAACAGAAUGAUGGUGGUGCAUGGCUGCCCUCGGCUCGAGAUGUGAGAUGUUGGGUUAAAGUCCCGCACCGACCGCACCCUUUAUUAUCAGUUGCCAGCCUUUAAUUGGGCACUCUGGUGAGACUGGCCGGUGACAAACCAUAAGAAGGUGGGGAUGACGUCAUAUCAUCAUGCCCCUUUAUGACCUGGGCUACACCCGUGCUACAAUGUGACCGGUACACG